rnacentral:rRNA from 1 species
UACGGGGGGGGCAAGCGUUGUUCGGAAUUACUGGGCGUAAAGGGCUCGUAGGCGGCUUUGCAAGUGACGGGUGAAAUCCCUCGGCUUAACCGAGGAACUGCCUGUCAGACUGCAUGGCUUGAGACCAGGAGAGGUGAGUGGAAUUCCCAGUGUAGCGGUGAAAUGCGUAGAUAUUGGGAGGAACACCAGUGGCGAAGGCGGCUCACUGGACUGGUACUGACGCUGAUGCGCGAAAGCGUGGGGAGCAAACAGG